UGGUAGGAUAGAGGCCUACCAUGGUGGUAACGGGUAACGGGGUGUUAGGGCACGACACCGGAGAGGGAGCCUGAGAAACGGCUACCACAUCCAAGGAUGGCAGCAGGCGCGCAAAUUACCCAAUCCCGACACGGGGAGGUAGUGACAACAAAUAACAAUACGGGGUUCUUUCGGAUUUCGUAAUUGGAAUGAGUACAAUUUAAAUCCCUUAACGAGGAACAAUUGGAGGGCAAGUCUGGUGCCAGCAGCCGCGGUAAUUCCAGCUCCAGUAGCGUAUAUUAAAGUUGUUGCAGUUAAAAAGCUCGUAGUUGAACUUCGGAAUUUAUUCAUUGGUCAGACUUAACUGUCUGUACUGGUGUUAUGAAUUUCUACCUUCUGAGGAAUUAUCAUGCCAUUUAGUUGGUGUGGUAGGGAAUCAGGACUGUUACUUUGAAAAAAUUAGAGUGUUUAAAGCAGGCUAACGUCUGAGUACAUUAGCAUGGAAUAAUAGAAUAGGACGGAUUGGUUCUAUUUUGUUGGUUUCUAGGAUCACCGUAAUGAUUAAUAGGGAUAGUUGGGGGCAUUAGUAUUCAAUUGUCAGAGGUGAAAUUCUUGGAUUUAUUGAAGACUAACUACUGCGAAAGCAUUUGCCAAGGAUGUUUUCAUUAAUCAAGAACGAAAGUUAGGGGAUCGAAGACGAUCAGAUACCGUCAUAGUCUUAACCAUAAACUAUGCCGACUAGGGAUCGGACGAAGUUAAUUUUUAAAUGACUCGUUCGGCACCUUACGGGAAACCAAA
rnacentral:rRNA from 1 species